rnacentral:rRNA from 1 species
UACGUAGGGUGCAAGCGUUAAUCGGAAUUACUGGGCGUAAAGCGUGCGCAGGCGGUUGUGCAAGACCGAUGUGAAAUCCCCGGGCUUAACCUGGGAAUGGCAUUGGUGACUGCACGGCUAGAGUGUGUCAGAGGGGGGUAGAAUUCCACGUGUAGCAGUGAAAUGCGUAGAGAUGUGGAGGAAUACCGAUGGCGAAGGCCGCCCCCUGGGAUAACACUGACGCUCAUGCACGAAAGCGUGGGGAGCAAACAGG